UUGAGAAUUUGAUCCUGGUUCAGGAUGAACGCUGGCGGUGUGGAUAAGGCAUGCAAGUCGAGCGGUUCGAUUUCGUCGCAAGACGAAAUCGAAUAGCGGCGAACGAGUUAGUAACACGUAGGAACUUACCCCAAAGACGGGAAUAACCCUCCGAAAGGAGGACUAAUACCCGAUGGCAUGAAGGUUAAAAUCUUCAUUAAAGUCGCAAGACGCUUUGGGAGAGGCCUGCGGGCUAUCAGCUAGUUGGUAGGGUAAUGGCCUACCAAGGCGAUGACGGCUAGGGGGCGCGAGAGCGUGUUCCCCAACGUAAGGGACUGAGACACGGCCCUAACUCCUACGGGAGGCAGCAGUCGAGAAUAUUUCGCAAUGGGCGAAAGCCUGACGAAGCGACACCGCGUGAAGGAAGAAGGCCCUCGGGUCGUAAACUUCUUUUGACAGAGAACAAGCCGCAAGGUUGAGCGUAUCUGUAGAAUAAGGCGCUGCUAACUUCGUGCCAGCAGCAGCGGUAAUACGAAGGCGCCAAGCGUUAUCCGGAUUUAUUGGGCGUAAAGAGUUCAAAGGGGGUCAUGUUAGUCCGAUGUCAAAGCUCGCAACUCAAUUGCGAAAGCGCGUCGGAAACGGCAUGACUUGAGGAAAUUAGAGGCAAGUAGAACGGCUGGUGUAGGGGUGAAAUCCGUUGAUAUCAGCCGGAAUACCAAAGGCGAAGGCAUCUUGCUGGAAUUUUCCUGACCCUGAAAGAACGAAAGCGUGGGUAGCGAAUGGGNNGGAGCAUGUGGUUCAAUUCGACAAUAACCGAAAAACCUUACCUGGCCUUGACACUCUAACAAUAACCUCGCGAAAGCAAGGUGUGUUCACAAGACGGUUAGAGCAGGUACUGCAUGGUUGUCGUCAGCUCGUGCCUUGAGGUGUUCCGUUAAGUCGGGAAACGAGCGCAACCCCUGUUGCCAGUUACAAGUGUCUGGCGAUACUGCCCCGAGAGACGGGGAGGAAGGAGGGGACAACGUCAAAUCAGCAUGGUCCUUUGAUGGCCAGGGCUACACACGUGCUACAAUGGGAAAUACAAAGGGUUGCCAAGCCGUAAGGCGGAGCUAAUCCCAUCAAAAUUUCCCCCAGUUCAGAUUGAGGGCUGCAACUUGCCCUCAUGAAGAUGGAAUCGCUAGUAAUCGCGGAUCAGCAUGCCGCGGUGAAUACGUUCUCGAGUCUUGUACUCACCGCCCGUCAUACCAAGGGAGCCGGGAAUGCCUUAAUUCUGACUUUAUGUCGGACCACGGUAAGCUCGGUAACAAGGGUGAAGUCGUAACAAGGCAUCGCUAGCGGAAGCUGGUGAUGGAUCAUCUCCUUU
rnacentral:rRNA from 1 species